AUGAAGAUCUUGGCGAGUGAGUGGCGGACGGGUGAGUAACGCGUGGGUAACCUGCCUCAUACAGGGGGAUAACAGUUAGAAAUGACUGCUAAUACCGCAUAAGACCACAGCACCGCAUGGUGCAGGGGUAAAAACUCCGGUGGUAUGAGAUGGACCCGCGUCUGAUUAGGUAGUUGGUGGGGUAACGGCCUACCAAGCCGACGAUCAGUAGCCGACCUGAGAGGGUGACCGGCCACAUUGGGACUGAGACACGGCCCAAACUCCUACGGGAGGCAGCAGUGGGGAAUAUUGCACAAUGGGGGAAACCCUGAUGCAGCGACGCCGCGUGAGCGAUGAAGUAUUUCGGUAUGUAAAGCUCUAUCAGCAGGGAAGAAAAUGACGGUACCUGACUAAGAAGCACCGGCUAAAUACGUGCCAGCAGCCGCGGUAAUACGUAUGGUGCAAGCGUUAUCCGGAUUUACUGGGUGUAAAGCGCACGUAGGCGGUUAUUCAAGUCAGAGGUGAAAGCCCGGGGCUCAACCCCGGAACUGCCUUUGAAACUAGAUGACUGGAAUCUUGGAGAGGUCAGUGGAUUCCGAGUGUAGAGGUGACAUUCGUAGAUAUUCGGAAGAACACCAGUGGCGAAGGCGACUGACUGGACAAGUAUUGACGCUG
rnacentral:rRNA from 1 species